rnacentral:lncRNA from 1 species
GAAGGGUCCCUACUUAUAGAAAAUAGAGAUCAUUAGAUUUGCGUCAAGUGGCGAAAUCUUAUGAGGAGAGAGGAAAAAAAGUGACUUGACGCAAUACGACGACUGACAGAUGCAACUGAUGGAUGACCAGUAUGACGAUGUCGACGUGGCAGCAGUGCAAAAACUAGAGGCACACCACCCAAACGACAGCUGCAUGCUACCCAACUGGCAGUGGCAUGACGCCUAACUAACGAUGCACACCCCCCAAGGGGCGACACACGAUGCCUAAGGGGCAGCACACAUUGCCAGAGGUAACACCCACUGUCCUAGCCUACCGCAUGUGCACAGGGCGUUUGG